GUGCUUACUUCCACAGCCCAUAUAUUAAAAUUGGAAUGAUAUAGAGAAGACUAGCCUGGCCCCUGUGCAAGGAUGACAUGCAAAUUCGUGAAGUGUUCCAUAUUAAA
ensembl:snRNA U6 U6 spliceosomal RNA